rnacentral:rRNA from 1 species
GGAAUUGUUCACAAUGGGCGCAAGCCUGAUGACGCAACGCCGCGUGGAGGAUGAAGGUCUUCGGAUUGUAAGCUCCUGUUGCCCGGGACGAACGGCUCCAACCUAACACGUUGGAGUGUGACGGUACCGGGUGAGGAAGCCCCGGCUAACUCGUUGCCAGCAGCCGCGGUAAUACCGAGGGGGCAAGCGUUGUUCGGAAUUACUGGGCGUACAGGGCGCGUAGGCGGCCUGCUCAGUCGAACGUGAAAUCCCCGGGCUCAACCCGGGAACUGCGUCCGAUACUGGAAGGCUCGAAUCCGGGAGAGGGAUGUGGAAUUCCAGGUGUAGCGGUGAAAUGCGUAGAUAUCUGGAGGAACACCGGUGGCGAAGGCGACAUCCUGGACCGGUAUUGACGCUGAGGCGCGAAAGCCAGGGGAGCAAA